UCUGCCCGAGAGGCACUGCAGCUGCGGCUGCUGUGUCACAUGUGUGUCAGUAGAUGGCAGAGAGGAGAGAGGCUGAGUCUAUGCUCAGUGUUCUGACCUAUGGACAUCUGAAAUAUUACUAGCCUAAUAGU
ensembl:snoRNA Gm22267 small nucleolar RNA SNORA17